UUCCCUCCGAAGUUUCCCUCAGGAUAGCUGGAGCCCAUUACGAGUUCUAUCAGGUAAAGCCAAUGAUUAGAGGCAUUGGGGACGCAACGUCCUCGACCUAUUCUCAAACUUUAAAUAGGUAGGAUGGCGCGGCUGCUUCGGUGAGCCGUGCCAUGGAAUCGGGUGCUCCAAGUGGGCCAUUUUUGGUAAGCAGAACUGGCGAUGCGGGAUGAACCGGAAGCCGGGUUACGGUGCCCAACUGCGCGCUAACCUAGAACCCACAAAGGGUGUUGGUCGAUUAAGACAGCAGGACGGUGGUCAUGGAAGUCGAAAUCCGCUAAGGAGUGUGUAACAACUCACCUGCCGAAUCAACUAGCCCCGAAAAUGGAUGGCGCUGAAGCGCGCGACCCACACCCGGCCAUCUGAUGUCGGCCAUGCCCCGAUGAGUAGGAGGGCGCGGCGGCCGCUGCAAAACCCGGGGCGCGAGCCCGGGCGGAGCGGCCGUCGGUG
rnacentral:rRNA from 1 species